rnacentral:rRNA from 1 species
CCUACGUGCGGCAGCAGUGGGGAAUAUUGCGCCAUGGGCGAAAGCCUGACGCAGCGACGCCGCGUGCGGGAUGAAGGUCUUCGGAUCGUAAACCUCUGUCAGCAGGGAAGAACAGUCACUGUGCUAAUCAGCAGUGAAUUGACGGUACCUUCACAGGAAGCACCGGCUAACUUCGUGCCAGCAGCCGCGGUAAUACGGAGGGUGCGAGCGUUAAUCGGAAUUACUGGGCGUAAAGCGCUCGUAGGCGGUAUGUCAAGUCAAGGGUGAAAUCCCCGCGCUCAACGUGGGAACUGCCUUUGAAACUGGCAAACUGGAGUGUGUGAGAGGAUAGUGGAAUUCCAGGUGUAGGAGUGAAAUCCGUAGAUAUCUGGAGGAACAUCAGUGGCGAAGGCGACUAUCUGGCACAUAACUGACGCUGAGGAGCGAAAGCGUGGGUAGCAAACAGGAUUAGAUACCCGAGUAGUC